UGAGGAAUAUUGGGCAAUGCCCGAAAGGGUGACCCAGCAACGCCGCGUGGAGGAUGAAGGUCGUAAGAUUGUAAACUCCUGUUAGAGGGGAAGAAUAACUAAGUUUGGAGCUUAGUAUGACUGUACCCUCAGAGAAAGCCCUGGCUAACUACGUGCCAGCAGCCGCGGUAAUACGUAGGGGGCAAGCGUUGUCCGGAUUUACUGGGUGUAAAGGGCGCGCAGGCGGAAUGGAAAGUCAGUGGUGAAAUCCUACAGCUUAACUGUAGAACUGCCUUUGAUACUUUCAUUCUUGAGUUCGGGAGAGAGAGACGGAAUUCCAGGUGUAGUGGUGAAAUACGUAGAUAUCUGGAAGAACACCAGUUGCGAAGGCGGUCUCUUGGUCCGAUACUGACGCUGAGGCGCGAAAGCGUGGGGAGCAAACA
rnacentral:rRNA from 1 species